rnacentral:rRNA from 1 species
GUGGGGAAUAUUAGGCAAUGGGCGAAAGCCUGACCUAGCAACGCCGCGUGAAGGAAGAAGGCCUUCGGGUUGUAAACUUCUUUUAUGAGGGACGAAGGACGUGACGGUACCUCAUGAAUAAGCCACGGCUAACUACGUGCCAGCAGCCGCGGUAAUACGUAGGUGGCGAGCGUUGUCCGGAUUUACUGGGUGUAAAGGGCGCGUAGGCGGACUGGCAAGUCAGAUGUGAAAUACAGGGGCUUAACUCCUGAACUGCAUUUGAAACUGCUGGUCUUGAGUAUCGGAGAGGCAAGCGGAAUUCCUAGUGUAGCGGUGAAAUGCGUAGAUAUUAGGAGGAACACCAGUGGCGAAGGCGGCUUGCUGGACGACAACUGACGCUGAGGCGCGAAAGCGUGGGGAGCAAACAGGAUUAGAAACCCGAGUAGUCC